UACGGGGGGGGCAAGCGUUGUUCGGAAUUACUGGGCGUAAAGGGCUCGUAGGUGGCCAACUAAGUCAGACGUGAAAUCCCUCGGCUUAACCGGGGAACUGCGUCUGAUACUGGAUGGCUUGAGUUUGGGAGAGGGACGCGGAAUUCCAGGUGUAGCGGUGAAAUGCGUAGAUAUCUGGAGGAACACCGGUGGCGAAGGCGGCGAUCUGGGAAGAUACUGACGCUGAGGUGCGAAAGCGUGGGGAGCAAACAGG
rnacentral:rRNA from 1 species